GUAAUUUUCUACAAUGUGUCGUCAAAUCAUGACGUGGGGCACUUUUAACUGAGCAUUCGCUGUUUGAUCUGAUGGAUUUGACGGGUCAAGCCGACUUCCACCACGCUUUCCCUUUCUGAGGGGCGAAUUCAAAACCCAUUCCGCUCUCCUUCUCCGUCUCGCCGCGCCACCUACCCCUUGGCCAACCGCCGGCAAACGAGCCCGUACGCGGCUCCGUGAUGGCCUCCCCCGUCGAUCUCCCAUGCGACGCCGACGGGCGUUGCAUGGUCUGCGAGGCGGUGCCGCCUUCGCCGGCGGAGGUGGUGCUAUGCCGCACCUGCGCCACCCCCUGGCACGCGCCUUGCCUCUCCCUGCCGCCGGCGACCCUCGCCACCGCGGUCGACUGGGAGUGCCCGGAUUGCUCCUCCCCGGACGGCUCCGGCGUCGUAGCCGCCGUCCCCGACGCCUCCAGUGCCUUGAUCGCGUCCAUCCGGGCAAUCGAGGCCGAUCGAUCGCUGACGGAGAAGGAGAAGGCCUGGCGGAGGCAGGAACUGGUGGGCGGCAGAGGAAGGGUUCUGGUGGAGAGAGAUAAGGAGGAGGAGAAGAAAGGGAAGAAGAUGAGAAAUGAUGAUGUUCUUGGUUUCUUGGAUGCGAAAUUCAUCUGUUCCUUUUGCAUGCAGUUGCCGGAUCGCCCUGUGACUACACCCUGUGGUCACAACUUCUGCUUGAAAUGCUUCCAGAAGUGGGUUGGGCAGGGUAAACAUAGCUGUGCAAAAUGUCGAGCCCCUAUCCCAUCUAAAAUGGCAUGCGAGCCGAGAAUCAAUUCUGCGAUUGUUGUGGCUAUUCGCAUGGCAAAAACAGCACAGUCAACCAUCUCAAGUGAUAAAAAACGAGAAUAUCAUUCCAUGUGCAAUGAAAACAGGCCUGACAAAGCAUUUACUACUGAACGAGCCAAAAAGGCUGGAAAAGCUAAUGCUUGUAGUGGUCAAAUUUUUGUUGCAGUACCUCCUGAUCAUUUUGGGCCAAUCCUUGCAGUGCAUGAUCCUAAAAGGAAAAAGGGUGUUUUGGUUGGCGAAAUAUGGGAGGACCGACUGGAAUGCAGGCAAUGGGGUGCCCACUUACCCCAUGUUGCAGGGAUUGCAGGGCAAUCGAAUCAGGGUGCUCAAUCCGUUGCAUUAUCUGGAGGCUACAAGGAUGAUGAAGAUCAUGGUGAUUGGUUCCUCUACACUGGAAGUGGAGGAAGGGAUUUGAGUGGCAACAAGCGAACUAACAAACACCAGUCAUUUGACCAGACAUUUGAGAAGCUUAACAAAGCACUACAAGUUAGUUGCAUAAAGGGAUACCCUGUUCGAGUAGUUAGAUCCCAGAAAGAAAAGAGAUCCUCAUAUGCUCCAGAAACUGGGGUUCGCUAUGAUGGGAUUUACAGGAUCGAAAAAUGUUGGCGCAAACUUGGGAUUCAAGGUUUUAAAGUUUGUAGAUAUCUUUUUGUCCGGUGUGACAAUGAACCAGCCCCAUGGACAAGUGAUGAACAAGGGGACCAUCCUAGACCUUUGCCUGUCAUUAAUGAACUAAAGCAUGCCACCGAUAUCACAAUAAGAAAGCAAAGCCCGUCUUGGGAUUAUGAUGAAAAACAUGGUUGGAAAUGGAUCAAGUCUCCACCAAAGAGUCGAAAGCAUGGGCCCGGUGGAAGUCCAUAUGAAAGGGGACGAAGGAAAUCAAGCAGGACUCCUCAAAGCACAUCUGUGAGGGAGAAACUCUUGAAAGAAUUGAGCUGCCUAAUUUGUUGGAAGGUGAUGUCAUUUCCACUCACAACCCCAUGCGCCCACAACUUUUGCAAGUCAUGCUUGCUUGGGUCAUUCGCUGACAAGUCAUUUGUGCGGGUGAGAACAUGGGAAGGGGGUUGGAGCCUUCGAGCUCAAAAAAUUAUCAAGAAAUGCCCUUCUUGUCCUAAUGACAUCUCUGAUUUCUUACAGAAUCCCCAGGUCAACAGAGAGCUUAUGGAUCUAAUAGAAUUACUCCAAAAGAGGAAACACGAAAUGAAUGGUGAGGAAUCAAGCAAUUUAGUUGACUUGUCAUCUGAAGAGGAAAAUAAUGACCAAGAGAAGAGGUUGAGGAAUUAUGGAAGUGAUCUAGGGAAAAACAUGGUUGAAAAUGAAAGUGAUGUUUUAAAAGGCAAGAAGCUUAAAGGGAAAGCUUUUGAUAUAUGUGAGCAGCAGUAUAAAUCAGUAGAUGGAGAGUCUGAAACUUAUGCUGUCAAUUGUGAGAUGGAUGAAAUAGGUAAGACUUACUGCCUGGGUCUUAAAAACAAGAUUGUUCACUGUGUCACCUACAAGCGGAGAAAAACUAGUUGUACGUUGAAUGGAAUACGUAAGACACGAAGCCUGGGUCUCACAAACAAGGUUGUUCACUAUGUCACCUACAAGCGGAGAAAGCUUAAUUGUGAGAUGGAUGAAAUAGGUAAGACAAGCUGCCUGGGUCUGACAAACAAGGUUGUUCACUAUGUCACCUACAAGCGGAGAAAGCUUCACUGUGAGAUGGUUGAAAUAGGUAAGACAAGCUGCCUGGGUCUGACAAACAAGGUUGUUCACCAUGUCACCUACAAGCGGAGAAAAACCAAUUGUGAGAUGGAUAAAAUAGAUAAGACAAGCUGCGUGGGUCUGACAAACAAGGUUGUUCACUAUGUCACCUACAAGCGGAGAAAUACUAAUUAUCAGAUGGAUAAAAUAGAUAAGACAAGCUGCUUGGGUCUGACAAACAAGGUUGUUCACUAUGUCACCUACAAGCGGAGAAAUACUAAUUAUCAGAUGGAUAAAAUAGAUAAGAUAAACUGCCUGGGUCUCACAAGCAAGGUUGUCCGCUACGUCACCUACAAGCGGAGAAAAACUAAUCCGGACAGCUGGAAAAAAUAGCUUAAAGAAGCCAAGUAGUGAUGGAAGAAAAUCUUGAAUAAAGAAUGUCAAGAAUCUGAUAUGGAUUAUUUCUGAUAUUCAGAUUUUGGAGGGAAGGAUACCAAGAGGAUCGGCUUCAAGUAGACGGGAAAGAUACUUAGACGGUGGAGUAAUGCAUAAUAUCUGUUGGAAACUGAUUUAGAGCAAGCUAUUUUGAAGAGGAAGCAAAAAGGAAAACAAGCUUUUGUACGAGAGCCCUUUUUACAUACGCACGCCAAAUAG